rnacentral:rRNA from 1 species
GGUUAAGUGACGAAGCGUAGACGGUGGAUGCCUAGGCAGUUGGAGGCGAUGAAGGACGUACUAACUUGCGAUAAGCCAUGAUGAGGCAGUAAGAGCCGCAUGAGUCAUGGAUUUCCGAAUGGGGAAACCCAGUGUGCUUGCACACUAUCCUUAACUGAAUUCAUAGGUUAAGGAAGCGAACCCGGAGAACUGAAACAUCUAAGUACCCGGAGGAAAAGAAAUCAACCGAGAUUUCCCUAGUAGCGGCGAGCGAACGGGAAUUAGCCCUUAAGCAAUCAUGGUGUUAGUGGAAUGAGCUGGAAAGCUCGACGAUACAGGGUGAUAGUCCCGUACACGACGAUGCCAUGGAUGUGAAAACGAGUAGGUCGGGACACGUGUUAUCUUGACUGAAUAUGGGGGGACCAUCCUCCAAGGCUAAAUACUCCCAACUGACCGAUAGUGAACCAGUACCGUGAGGGAAAGGCGAAAAGAACCCCGGCGAGGGGAGUGAAAUAGAACCUGAAACCGUCUACGUACAAGCAGUAGGAGCACCUUCGUGGUGUGACUGCGUACCUUUUGUAUAAUGGGUCAGCGACUUAUAUUUUGUAGCAAGGUUAACCGCAUAGGGGAGCCGUAGGGAAACCGAGUCUUAACUGGGCGCUUAGUUGCAAGGUAUAGACCCGAAACCGGGCGAUCUAGCCAUGGGCAGGUUGAAGAUUGAGUAACAUCAAUUGGAGGACCGAACUCACUAAUGUUGAAAAAUUAGGAGAUGACCUGUGGCUCGGAGUGAAAGGCUAAUCAAGCCCGGAGAUAGCUGGUUCUCCCCGAAAGCUAUUUAGGUAGCGCCUCGGACGAAUACCACUGGGGGUAGAGCACUGUUUGGGCUAGGGGGUCAUCCCGACUUACCAACCCCAUGCAAACUCCGAAUACCAGUGAGUACUAUCCGGGAGACACACGGCGGGUGCUAACGUCCGUCGUGAAGAGGGAAACAACCCAGACCGCCAGCUAAGGUCCCGAAGUCAUGGCUAAGUGGGAAACGAUGUGGGAAGGCUCAGACAGCUAGGAGGUUGGCUUAGAAGCAGCCACCCUUUAAAGAAAGCGUAAUAGCUCACUAGUCGAGUCGGCCUGCGCGGAAGAUGUAACGGGGCUAAGCCAUGCACCGAAGCUGCGGCUACAUACUUAUGUAUNNNNNNNNNNNNNNNNNNNNNNNNNNNNNNNNNNNNNNNNNNNNNNNNNNNNNNNNNNNNNNNNNNNNNNNNNNNNNNNNNNNNNNNNNNNCCUAUGUAUGUGGGGUAGGGGAGCGUUCUGUAAGCCGUUGAAGGUGGAUUGAGAAGUCUGCUGGAGGUAUCAGAAGUGCGAAUGCUGACAUGAGUAACGAUAAUGGGAGUGAAAAACUCCCACGCCGGAAGACCAAGGUUUCCUAUCCCAUGCUAAUCAGGGUAGGGUAAGUCGGCCCCUAAGGCGAGGCCGAGAGGCGUAGUCGAUGGGAAUCAGGUUAAUAUUCCUGAACCGAUAUAUACUGCGAUGGGGGGACGGAGAAGGCUAGGCAAGCCGGGUGUUGGUAAUCCCGGUGAAAGUAUGUAGGUUGGCGGCUUAGGUAAAUCCGGGCUGCUAAGACUGAGAUACGAGACGAGUACCUACGGGUGCGAAGUUGUUGAUGCCAUGCUUCCAGGAAAAGCCUCUAAGCUUCAGGUAUAUAUUGACCGUACCCGAAACCGACACAGGUGGUCAGGUAGAGAAUACUAAGGCGCUUGAGAGAACUCGGGUGAAGGAACUAGGCAAAAUAGUACCGUAACUUCGGGAGAAGGUACGCCAGAGCUAGUGAACCCCUUGCGGGGGGAGCUGGAGCUGGCCGCAGUGACCAGGUGGCUGGGACUGUUUAUUAAAAACACAGCACUCUGCAAACACGAAAGUGGACGUAUAGGGUGUGACACCUGCCCGGUGCCGGAAGGUUAAUUGAUGGGGUUAGCGUAAGCGAAGCUCUUGAUCGAAGCCCCGGUAAACGGCGGCCGUAACUAUAACGGUCCUAAGGUAGCGAAAUUCCUUGUCGGGUAAGUUCCGACCUGCACGAAUGGUGUAACCAUGGCCACGCUGUCUCCACCCGAGACUCAGUGAAAUUGAAAUCGCCGUGAAGAUGCGGUGUACCCGCGGCUAGACGGAAAGACCCCGUGAACCUUUACUACAGCUUGGCACUGAACAUUGAACCUCCAUGUGUAGGAUAGGUGGGAGGCUUAGAAGCACUGGCGCUAGUUGGUGUGGAGCCAUCCUUGAAAUACCACCCUUGUAUGUUUGAUGUUCUAACUUAGCCCCCUUAUCGGGGGUGAGGACAGUGCCUGGUGGGUAGUUUGACUGGGGCGGUCUCCUCCCAAAGAGUAACGGAGGAGCACGAAGGUUGGCUAAGUACGGUCGGACAUCGUACGGUUAGUGUAAUGGCACAAGCCAGCUUAACUGCGAGACAGACACGUCGAGCAGGUACGAAAGUAGGUCAUAGUGAUCCGGUGGUUCUGAAUGGAAGGGCCAUCGCUCAACGGAUAAAAGGUACUCCGGGGAUAACAGGCUGAUACCGCCCAAGAGUUCAUAUCGACGGCGGUGUUUGGCACCUCGAUGUCGGCUCAUCACAUCCUGGGGCUGUAGUCGGUCCCAAGGGUAUGGCUGUUCGCCAUUUAAAGUGGUACGCGAGCUGGGUUUAGAACGUCGUGAGACAGUUCGGUCCCUAUCUGCCGUGGGCGUUUGAGAGUUGAGAGGGGUUGCUCCUAGUACGAGAGGACCGGAGUGAACGAACCUCUGGUGUUCGGGUUGUCAUGCCAAUGGCACUGCCCGGUAGCUAUGUUCGGAAUCGAUAACCGCUGAAAGCAUCUAAGCGGGAAGCGAGCCUCAAGAUAAGCUCUCACUAGCACGUAAGUGCUCUGAAGGGUUGUUGAAGACGACGACGUUGAUAGGCGGGAUGUGGAAGCGUAGUAAUGCGUUGAGCUAACCCGUACUAAUUGCCCGUGAGGCUUAACCAU